rnacentral:rRNA from 1 species
AGGAAGAAAGCUUGCUUUCUUUGCUGGCGACCGGCGCACGGGUGAGUAACACGUAUCCAACCUGCCGUCUACUCUUGGACAGCCUUCUGAAAGGAAGAUUAAUACAAGAUGGCAUCAUGAGUUCACAUGUUCACAUGAUUAAAGGUAUUCCGGUAGACGAUGGGGAUGCGUUCCAUUAGAUAGUAGGCGGGGUAACGGCCCACCUAGCCCGCGAUGGGUAGCCGGGUUGAGAGACCGACCGGCCACAUUGGGACUGAGAUACGGCCCAGACUCC